AUUAAACGCUGGCGGCAUGCCUUACACAUGCAAGUCGAACGGCAGCACGGGGGCAACCUUGGUGGCGAGUGGCGAACGGGUGAGUAAAGCAUCGGAACGUGCCCUGGAGUGGGGGAUAACGUAGCGAAAGUUACGCUAAUACCGCAUAUUCUGUGAGCAGGAAAGCAGGGGAUCGCAAGACCUUGCGCUCUGGGAGCGGCCGAUGUCGGAUUAGCUAGUUGGUGGGGUAAAGGCCUACCAAGGCGACGAUCCGUAGCGGGUCUGAGAGGAUGAUCCGCCACACUGGGACUGAGACACGGCCCAGACUCCUACGGGAGGCAGCAGUGGGGAAUAUUGGACAAUGGGCGCAAGCCUGAUCCAGCCAUGCCGCGUGGGUGAAGAAGGCCUUC
rnacentral:rRNA from 1 species